GGCGAUCACAUACCGCCCUAGUUCUGACCGUAAACGAUGCCAACUGGCCAUUCGCCGGNAGUUACUUUAUGACUCGGCGGGCAGCCUCCGGGAAACCAAAGUUUUCUGGUUCCGGGGGAAGUAUGGUUGCAAAGCUUAAACUUAAAGGAAUUGACGGAAGGGCACCACCAGGUGUGGAGCCUGCGGCUUAAUUUGACUCAACACGGGAAAGCUCACCCGGUCAGGACACAGUAAGGAUUGACAGAUUGAUAGCUCUUUCUCGAUUUUGUGGGUGGUGGUGCAUGGCCGUUCUUAGUUGGUGGAGUGAUUUGUCUGGUUAAUUCCGAUAACGAACGAAAUUCUAGCCUACUAACUAGGCGCCAAAUUCUUUUGCUGUAUGGCGACCUUCUUAGAGGGACAAGCAGCAAUUAGCUGCACGAGAUUGAGCAAUAACAGGUCUGUGAUGCCCUUANAUGUCCGGGGCUGCACGCGCGCUACAAUGAAGGUAGCANAAUGUAUCGAAACCGUGUCUGGGAAGACUCGGUAAUCACUAAUUAUUUUCGUGCUUGGGACAGGGCAUUGGAAUUAUUGCCCUUGAACGAAGAAUAUCUAGUAAGCGUGAGUCAUAAGCUCCCGUUGAUUACGUCCCUGCCCUUUGUA
rnacentral:rRNA from 1 species